AUGGCUCUCAUAAGGGAGAAGAGGCUUCCGCAGCUCCACCUCGCACUGCCCGUCCCGCCGUGCGCCCCCGUCCAGGAGCUCGGCUGUUAGCGUCCAACUCGGCCUAGCCCACACUCACUAACAUUGGCGGCCAAGGCCUCCACCCCGUCGACGUUGUCCAGCCAGUUCCGCCUCGCUGACUUCGACAAGCUCGCCGUCCUGGGCCGCGGGAACGGCGGCACCGUCUACAAGGUCCGCCAUCGGAAGACGAGCGCACUCUACGCGCUCAAGGUCCAGCACUACGGCGACCCCGCCGCCGCCGCCAAGGCGGACGUUCUCAGCCGCACUGCCUCGCCAUUCGUCGUCCGGUGGCACUCCGUGCUCCUUGCCACAGCAUCUGGCGACGCCCCCCUGCUCCUCGAGCUGGUCGACGGGGGGUCCAUCAACUCCGUCAGGAGCCGCCGCGGCGCGUUCACGGAGGCCGCCCUCACGGAGGUGACAACGCAGGUGCUGUCGGGGCUGGCGUACCUCCACGCCCGCCGCAUCAUGCACCUCGACAUCAAGCCGGCCAACCUCCUCGUGAGCACCGCCGGGGAGGUCAAGGUCGCCGACUUCGGCAUCGCCGAGCUGCUCGCCCGCACCGGCGAGCACUACGCGUCGUACAUCGGCACCUCCGCGUACAUGAGCCUGGAGCACUUCGACCAGGAGGCGCACCCAGGGCCCUAUGAUCCGUACGCCGCCGACGUGUGGAGCCUGGGUGUCACACUCCUUGAGCUCUUCAUGGGCAGGUACCCGCUCCUGCCCGCCGGGCAGCAGCCGACUUGGGUCGCGCUCAUGUGCGCUAUCUUCUUCGGCAACCCAGUGCUGCCCGACGGCGCAGCCUCGCCGGAGCUCCGGGGAUUCGUUGCCGCGUGCCUGCAAAAGGACUACCGCAAGAGGGCGUCCAUCGUGGAGCUGCUUGCUCACCCAUUCGUCGCCGUGAGGGACGUGGCAGCGUCGAAACACACACUAUGGAAGCUAUUCACCGACGCCUCGUCGUCGUUGUAG
rnacentral:rRNA from 1 species